GGCCUGCGCGCCGCUGCCGUUCGCCCACGGGCGGGAACCGCUGACGGCGCCGCUCCGCGCUCACCCCCCUCCCCGCGCUGCGCCCGCCGGAAAGACCGGCCGCGCGCCGGGCGGGCUUUACUUGUAGCGUCGCAGGACCCCGCUAGGGCUGACCUCGCUAGCGCCUGUCCCGCGCUUGCGCGCCGCGGCCGACUGGCGGGUCCGCCGCCUCCGGCAGUGCGCUGGGCGCCCCUGGCGGGUGAGGACCCCGCGCGGCGCCUGAGGCGCCCCCUCAGCCCUCUGCCAGGGCGGUUGUGCCGCCCGGUCUGGCGCGCUGGGAAAUGAGGGAAGAAUCCUCCGGCACGUCCCCAGUGUCGGUGUUCCCGCAGGUCGGGGAGAGAUGGUGGGUCACAGCCGUUCAUCCCUUCGUGGAGCAACGCAGACUUCCACCCGGAGGGCAGGAUUUGUGCCGUCCAGCGCUGCAUCCCCGCCGGGGCGGGGGGGUGCCAGGGGCUGUGCUUUUCUACAGGAUAUUCGGUAUUAAAUCCGUUUCCUCCAAAAAUCUGCACUGCAUCUGAAGCGACUUGGUUUGCCACAUCACCCGC